rnacentral:rRNA from 1 species
GUGAACGCUGGCGGUAGGCCUAACCCAUGCACGUCGAACGGCAGCACAGUAAGAGCUUGCUCUUACGGGUGGCGAGUGGCGGACGGGUGAGGAAUACAUCGGAAUCUACUUUUUCGUGGGGGAUAACGUAGGGAAACUUACGCUAAUACCGCAUACGACCUACGGGUGAAAGCAGGGGAUCUUCGGACCUUGCGCGAUUGAAUGAGCCGAUGUCGGAUUAGCUAGUUGGCGGGGUAAAGGCCCACCAAGGCGACGAUCCGUAGCUGGUCUGAGAGGAUGAUCAGCCACACUGGAACUGAGACACGGUCCAGACUCCUACGGGAGGCAGCAGUGGGGAAUAUUGGACAAUGGGCGCAAGCCUGAUCCAGCCAUACCGCGUGGGUGAAGAAGGCCUUCGGGUUGUAAAGCCCUUUUGUUGGGAAAGAAAAGCAGCAGGUUAAUACCCCGCUGUUCUGACGGUACCCAAAGAAUAAGCACCGGCUAACUUCGU